GGGGGCGUAGCUCAACUGGUCAGAGCGCUGCCCUGUCACGGCAGAGGUUGCGGGUUCAAGUCCCGUCGCUCCCG
rnacentral:tRNA from 1 species